rnacentral:lncRNA from 1 species
UUUUCAAAAUGACUGAUGACGAAUACAAAAGCACUGUCAAUAUUUGAAAUUCUUAAAAUUACUUAAAAGAGAAAAAUCAUUUUCCAACAUCAUUGCUUAUUUAGCAGGUGGAGCAUUAGUAACAUUAGUUCAGAGCCAGUUUAAAAAAGAAGCACCAAAUGUCUUUAAAAAGUCAUUUCAUUAUUCAUCAGCGAUACUUGAUUACCAAGAAUCUUAGAGGAGACCACAGAUCAAUGAAUAUUUAAAAGCAAUACCUUCAAUGUGAGGGAAAGAAUGUAUAUAUGUAUGUGUGACCGGGUCUCCUUGUUGUACAGUGGAAAACUGACAGAACACUGUAAACCAGCUAUAAUGGAAAAAUUUUUAAAAAUCAUUUAAAAACAGGUUACAAAAGAAAAAAAUUAAAAAAAUAAAAGUAAUCCUUUCAAUUACAGAUUACCCAUAAUUUGUCAAAAGUCAAUGAAUAGUUUGAAUGUCUUGUCCAGAUAAGAUGGUUCUCCAAGAAAUUUUUUUUUUUUUUUUUUGCUAUUUCUUUGGGCCGCUCCCGCGGCAUAUGGAGGUUCCCAGGCUAGGGGUCGAAUCGGAGCUGUAGCCACCAGCCUAUGCCAGAGCCACAGCAACGCAGGAUCCGAGCCGUGUCUGCAACCUACACCACAGCUCACUGCAACGCCGGAUCGUUAACCCACUGAGCAAGGGCAGGGACCGAACCUGCAACCUCAUGGUUGCUAGUCGGAUUCGUUAACCACUAUGCCACGACGGGAACUCCUCCAAGAAAUUUUUUAAAAAAGAUUUGGCUUGGAGUCCCUAGCCCCCCAGCCCAGGAAAUCCAUAUGCUAUGGAGUGGCCAAAACAGAAAAAAAGAAAAAAAAAAAUUGGCUCACAUUAUGGACUUUUGUGGAAUUUUCGAUGUAAUCAAAGAAGAAAUAAAUAUCAAACUUGAAACACUGCAAAAAAAUGAGGUACCUUUUUUAGGCCAUAUUUGCAAAGGUCUUUCUCUUUAUUCAGCUUAUAAAUAUUUUAAGUUAUAGUUUGUAUUUUAAUAUGCAUAUUUUAAAGUAUAGAGAAAAACUGGAAGACAGGGACAAUAAACAUCCUUAUCUUCAUUACCUAGAUUCAACAAUUUAUUUUGCCAUAAUCACUUCCAUUAUGUAUGUAUGUUCUGGCCAAAACAUUUCAAAAUAAAAUGAACAUAUCAUGCCACCUCACCCUUAUAUUCUCAAGCAUAAAUCUCCUAAAUAUAAGGAUAUUCUCCUAUGUAACCACAAUGUCAUUACCAAUUUUAAAAAGUUGGGACUAAUUAUCUAAUGUCACCUAAUACUCAGCCCAUUUUCCAACGUCUCUAGUUGUCUCCCAAAUACUUUUUUAUUAUGGGGGGAGGGAGGGUUGUUUGCUUUUAACAGGGAUCUAAACAAGUUUCAUAUGUUGCAUUUGUUAUAGAACUCUUCAGCCUCUUUUUAAUCCAACAUAUUUGUUGACUCUAUCUUUAAAAAAAAAAAAUUGUUUUUAACAUUGACUUUUUCCACCAGACCAGACAUCUUUUAGGAUUUCUGCAUUCUAGAAGUUUCUGAUCAUCUUCUCACUGUGUAGUUUAACUAAUUCCUCCCUCUCUCCUCUGUAAACAGGAAAUUAGUUCUAUAGGCUUCAUUUGGUUCACGUUAAAGGCUUUUGACAAGCAUCCCAAGUAAUACUGACUGAUACAUCUUAUUCCUUCCUGUAGGAAGUGGGGGAGGUCAACUCUCCCCCUUUUACUAAUACAGUCAAGUGGGGGGGGCAGUCACAUCUCUCCAAUGUAAAUGCACAUUUACUGCAUAAAUGAGGCCCAUCUUAAACUUCAAAAUGAUCGAUCUCAUUGAAGUGAAGGACAGUAUCUUGGCUUUUUCAACAAAUCAAAAUUUUAAAAUAACUUUGCUCACUGAGGAUUUUUAUAGUUUCUAGCUUUGCAGCAUAAUCUAUUUAACAUGAUAGGUGAAAGGAUACUAACUCAGAAACAGAUUGCUCUCGGGAGUUCCCAUCGUGGCUCGUAGAUGCUAGAAUCUGACUAGCAUCCAUGAGUACGCAGGUUCAAUCCCUGAUUUCACUCAGUGGGUUAAGGAUCCGCCGUUGCCGUGAGCUGUGGUGUAGGUCACAGAGGAGGCUGGGAUCUGGCGCUGCUGCACCUGUGGUGUAGGUUGACACUACAGCUCUGAUUCUUUUCCUAGCCUGGGAACUUCCAUAUGACACAGGUUCGGCCAAAAAAAAAAAAAAA